rnacentral:rRNA from 1 species
GCAAUACGUUGGUGGCGACCGGCGCACGGGUGAGUAACGCGUAUGCAACCUACCUAUCAGAGGGGAAUAACCCGGCGAAAGUCGGACUAAUACCGCAUAAAACAGGGGCACCGCAUGGUGAUAUUUGUUAAGAAAUUCGCUGAUAGAUGGGCAUGCGUUCCAUUAGGUAGUUGGUGAGGUAACGGCUCACCAAGCCGACGAUGGAUAGGGGAACUGAGAGGUUGGUCCCCCACACUGGUACUGAGACACGGACCAGACUCCUACGGGAGGCAGCAGUGAGGAAUAUUGGUCAAUGGGCGGGAGCCUGAACCAGCCAAGUCGCGUGAAGGGAAAAGAAGGAUCUAUGGUUCGUAAACUUCUUUUGCAGGGGAAUAAAGUGCAGGACGUGUCCUGUUUUGUAUGUACCCUGAGAAUAAGGAUCGGCUAACUCCGUGCCAGCAGCAGC